GGAAUGGAGCUCUCUAUUGCAAUGUUCUGAGUCCAUGAUAAAAUGUCAACUCAUGAGCCCAGAAGUUCUGGGCUGUAGUGUGCUAUGCCGAUUGGGUGUCCGCACUAAGUUCGGCAUCAGUAUGGUGACCUCCCGGGAGCAGGGGAUCCACCAGGUUGCCUAAGAAGGGGUGAACCGGCCCAGGUCGGAAACAGAGCAGGUCAAAACUCCCUUGCUGAUCAGUAGUGGGAUCCCGCCUGUGAAUAGUCACUGCACUCUGGCCUGGGCAACAUAGCGAGACCCCAUCUCU
rnacentral:SRP_RNA from 1 species